AGCGAACGCUGGCGGCAGGCCUAACACAUGCAAGUCGAACGGACCUUUCGGGGUUAGUGGCGGACGGGUGAGUAAUACGUGGGAACGUGCCUUUAGGUUCGGAAUAGCUCCUGGAAACGGGUGGUAAUGCCGAAUGUGCCCUUCGGGGGAAAGAUUUAUCGCCUUUAGAGCGGCCCGCGUCUGAUUAGCUAGUUGGUUGAGGUAACGGCUCACCAAGGCGACGAUCAGUAGCUGGUCUGAGAGGAUGGCCAGCCACAUUGGGACUGAGACACGGCCCAAACUCCUACGGGAGGCAGCAGUGGGGAAUCUUGCGCAAUGGGCGAAAGCCUGACGCAGCCAUGCCGCGUGAAUGAUGAAGGUCUUAGGAUUGUGAAAUUCUUUCACCGGGGACGAUAAUGACGGUACCCGGAGAAGAAGCCCCGGCUAACUUCGUG
rnacentral:rRNA from 1 species